rnacentral:rRNA from 1 species
GCCUACGGGGGGCAGCAGUAGGGAAUUUUCGUCAAUGGGCGCAAGCCUGAACGAGCAAUGCCGCGUGAACGAGGAAGGUCUUCGGAUCGUAAAGUUCUGCUGAAGGGGAAAAAGAGCGGAGAGAGGAAAUGGUCUCCGAUUGAUAUUACCCUUCGAGGAAGUCACGGCUAACUACGUGCCAGCAGCCGCGGUAAUACGUAGGUGGCGAGCGUUAUCCGGAAUGAUUGGGCGUAAAGGGUGCGUAGGCGGCCUGCUAAGUCUGGAGUGAAAGGUACCGGCUCAACCGGUACAGGCUCUGGAAACUG